ensembl:lncRNA
UGGAUGUUUGUAAAUCUUUAUUGACUUAAACAGCUCAUUUCUUUAUAAAAACAGUGAUGUCAUGAUUCAGAUUUAACAGAAAAACAAAGGCCACAGAUUUUGAAAUAAGAGACGUUUGAUCUGAAAAUCGAAAAAUGAGAUUUAAAAAUGACUUCAACAUCGCACAACCUGUUCCUUCAGAAUAAGAGGUGCAGACAGGAGCUUUAUUUUGGCGGGACCGGGACACGUGACACAUGACAGGACGCCCCAAGUCCUUUUCAUCUGGGAAAUGGAUUUGGUGUUUUGGUGAUGUGUGUUGAGUCAUGGUUCAGCUCUGGUUGAGGCUGGUUCAGUCCUGGUUCAGUCCUAAUUUAUUCCUAAUUUAGUCCUGGUUCACUCCUGAUUCCAGCCCUAGUCACAGGGAUGGGUUAUUCCUGGUUUACACAUAUCGUCCUGGUUUGGCUCUGGUUCAGUCCAGGUUUAGUUCUGGUUUAGACCUGGCUCAGUCCUAGUUGACAGCUGCUGUAUUCCUGAUUUAGUCCUGGUUCAGUCCUGAUUAUAGCCCUAGUAACAGGAAGGGAUUUUUCCUGGUUUACACAUAACUUGGUCCUUGUUUAGUUCUGGUUUAGACCUGGUUUAACCUGGUUUCAGUCCUGGUUUAAUCCUAGUUGGGGACCUGACCGAGUUAUUUCAAUUUUAGAACAAAAAUGCACCAAAAUAUAGAAUCCUUCAUGUUUCUGUCCUUUUAGCGCCGCCAUUUUGGACACUUCCUGUGGAAUAAAGAACUGCACCAUUUUGUGUUUUAGCACCAGAUCUCUCACCAUAUUACGCACCGAUGUCACAUGCCAUAUUGAUACUUUGCAGUGACAUCUCGCUGGGGGUGUAUGUACAUGUAUCUCUAUGGUGGAAUGUUCAGCAGCUCAAGUUUCUGCAACAAAUCAACAAAAAAUACUAACUAGAUUUAAACAGCACAUUUUCAGAAACCUGUGAUCAAUCCAAGCGUUCAUCGUUCUGUUUAGACGUUAGAUUUUAGACAAAAAGGUGAGAGCGACUGACUGGAAAACUGUUGGCUAACGCUAGCUAGCUUAUGACUUAUGUUAUUAAAGAGCGACUCGUUUAACUGCACAAAUCAGCUCACCUGUUGUAGUUCCAGCUCGUUUCUUUAUGGCCAGAUUGUGUUAAAACUUUAAUCUGAGCAUUUUUUUUUUUUUUACCAGAGCUUCAGACGGAGCAGUGCCUCCAGUUAGCAUCAUAGCAUCACACCCCCAGAGAAUGUUUAUGACAUCAGCUGCAAAGUAUCAAACCUGAACCUUUGACAAACUCCUCUUUUGACAUGUGAGAUUUCUGUUUUAGCUUUAGCGCCGUUAGCACCACUCAGUGUUCGCACCAAAUGAGCCGCAGAAAAGGAGGAGGAGGGUCCGGCAGGUUCUAGAGCACCAGAUUUUAUUUUCAGACGGCUGCACAAUUAUGGAAACAAAAAAUAAAUAAAAAAAUAUUUCCAGAGGUGGGACCAAGUCGUUUUGGAAGUCUGAAGUCUGUGGCAACAAGUCCAAGUCCAAGUCCUUUGCUCUGAGCUUCAAAUAGUUUCAAGUCUUUAAACC